AUUGAACGCUGGCGGCAUGCUUUACACAUGCAAGUCGAACGGUAACAGGGUGCUUGCACCGCUGACGAGUGGCGAACGGGUGAGUAAUGCGUCGGAACGUGCCGAGUAGUGGGGGAUAACGCAGCGAAAGUUGUGCUACUACCGCAUACGUACUGAGGUAGAAAGUGGGGGACCUUCGGGCCUCACGCCAUUCGAGCGGCCGACGUCUGAUUAGCUAGUAGGUGAGGUAAAGGCUCACCUAGGCGACGAUCAGUAGCGGGUCUGAGAGGAUGAUCCGCCACACUGGGACUGAGACACGGCCCAGACUCCUACGGGAGGCAGCAGUGGGGAAUUUUGGACAAUGGGCGAAAGCCUGAUCCAGCCAUGCCGCGUGUCUGAAGAAGGCCUUCGGGUUGUAAAGGACUUUUGUCAGGGAGGAAAUCCCUAGUGCUAAUAACACUGGGGGAUGACAGUACCUGAAGAAUAAGCACCGGCUAACUACGUGCCAGCCGCCGCAGUAA
rnacentral:rRNA from 1 species